rnacentral:rRNA from 1 species
GACGAACGCUGGCGGCGUGCUUAACACAUGCAAGUCGAACGGAAAGGCCCUGCUUUUGUGGGGUGCUCGAGUGGCGAACGGGUGAGUAACACGUGAGUAACCUGCCCUUGACUUUGGGAUAACUUCAGGAAACUGGGGCUAAUACCGGAUAGCAGCUCCUGCUGCAUGGUGGGCGUUGGAAAGUUUCGGCGGUUGGGGAUGGACUCGCGGCUUAUCAGCUUGUUGGUUGGGUAGUGGCUUACCAAGGCUUUGACGGGUAGCCGGCAUGGGAGGGUGACCGGCCACAUUGGUACUGCGGUACGGCGCAGAGUCCUACGGGAGGCAGCAGUGGGGAAUAUUGCACAAUGGGCGGAAGCCUGAUGCAGCAACGCCGCGUGCGGAAUGACGGCCUUCGGGUUGUAAACCGCUUUCGCCUGUGACGAAGCGUGAGUGACGGUAAUGGGUAAAGAAGCACCGGCUAACUACGUG